GUGAGGAAUAUUGGUCAAUGGACGAGAGUCUGAACCAGCCAAGUCGCGUGAAGGAAGACGGUUCUAUGAAUUGUAAACUUCUUUUGUGCAGGAAUAAAGUGGGUUACGUGUAACCUUUUGUAUGUACUGUACGAAUAAGGAUCGGCUAACUCCGUGCCAGCAGCCGCGGUAAUACGGAGGAUCCGAGCGUUAUCCGGAUUUAUUGGGUUUAUAGGGUGCGUAGUGGGAUUGAUAAGUCAGCGGUGAAAGUUUGUAGCUUAACUGUAAAAUUGCCGUUGAAACUGUCGGUCUUGAGUGCAAAUGAGGUAGGCGGAAUGUGUUGUGUAGAGGUGAAAUGCUUAGCUAUAACACAGAACUCCGAUUGCGAAAGCAGCUUACUGGGAUGCAACUGACACUGAUGCACGAAAGCGUGGGUAUCAAACAGGAUUAGAUACCCGAGUAGUCC
rnacentral:rRNA from 1 species